rnacentral:misc_RNA from 1 species
GUGAAUCAUCAAAUCUUUGAACGCAAAUUGCACUCUCCUCGGAGAGUAUGCCUGUUUGAGGUUCAGCCUAUAAAAAAUCGACAUCGUUGCUGUUUCGCGGUUGCGGUCGUCGGAAAUUGGGUCAUCUUAGAUCUUUUUUUUUUAAGCGACUUAAAAUUUUCGUUUUGUUUCUAUGAACGUUUCUAAGAUUUAUUUCUUUACAUUUUUAAGGUAUCGUUUUUGAUGUGACGUUACCAUCAUAUCGGAUC